AACGAACGCUGGCGGCAGGCUUAACACAUGCAAGUCGAACGCAUCCUUCGGGGUGAGUGGCAGACGGGUGAGUAACGCGUGGGAACGUGCCCUUCAGUUCGGGAUAACCCAGGGAAACUUGGGCUAAUACCGGAUACGUGCGAGAGCAGAAAGAUUUAUCGCUGAAGGAUCGGCCCGCGUCUGAUUAGCUAGUUGGUGGGGGAAUGGCCCACCAAGGCGACGAUCAGUAGCUGGUCUGAGAGGAUGAUCAGCCACAUUGGGACUGAGACACGGCCCAAACUCCUACGGGAGGCAGCGGUGGGGAAUAUUGGACAAUGGGCGCAAGCCUGAUCCAGCCAUGCCGCGUGAGUGAUGAAGGCCUUAGGGUUGUAAAGCUCUUUCGUCCGGGACGAUAAUGACGGUACCGGAAGAAGAAGCCCCGGCUAACUUCGUGCCAGCCGCCGCGGUAA
rnacentral:rRNA from 1 species